AUCCAGAUGGUCUAGUGUCUAACAUCGGCAUGGUUCCCAUAAUCAUCAAUCAUCAUAUCAAUGUAUCAGGGUAAUUCUCUCACUGAAACGGAAAAAAUAGGAAGAAACGUAGAAUGGAGAUCUCUUUUACGACGCUGAGCCCAUAUAUCUGGUUGUUGGUCCACUAAUAGGAACAGGAUUAACAGUUUAUGGCUACAUAAUUGCAAUACCAGAAACGGCAGUUUGCAACUUCGAAUCAGACUAUAAAGAGUAACCCCAGAACAAAUUAUGGGCAUAAAUAAGUGACUAUAGAACCCAUCUCUUGUUAAAUUUACAUAAUAUGCAUUUGUUUUGUAACUUCUUUUGCAAAUUGCUAGACCAGAAGUGAACAAAGCCAUUCAACGAACCGGAAACUAUCGUCUCCUGAACAGAAUCAAGGCAUGCUCUCCAGGAGUCUAUGAUGUUGUAGCUCUAAUCUAAGAAACAGAAUUGACCUCUACUACUUUUUUUGCGUCACAAACAACAAGUUUUCUGAAUCAGUUGGAGUUUUACAGAACCAAUUGACCUGCCAAAAUGGAAAGUAUGAGAUGAAAGGAUUCCAACACGAGCAAAAGACAAUAAAAAUCGACCUUUUGCUCAAAUCAAUGUUAAGACGUAGAACAUCUUCGUUACCAUCGGUCUGCCCUGCUUCAUGAUAUUUGGAGCAAUCCCACAUUUUCACUGAUCAACUUAUCAUUUCCACCAGAAAUUAUCAGGUUCCCCUUCUCCCCGAACAUUGAAAAUGUGACACAGGACACAGCAGCAACAUAGCCACCC
rnacentral:lncRNA from 1 species